AGCAGAGCAACAGCCUUUCAGCACUCAACCAUGUCACUGCCUGCCUUGCUUUUGAUGGAACUGGGCUGACCUCCGUGUCCAGCCGCGAAGGCAUUUUCUGUUUUACGAGUCGCGGUGAGCAGAGAGCCAGCAGCCUUGCUCAAGGUGGUUGCUGUUCACAGCUGAGUCUCCUGAGAGGAUUAGCAAUACAACUAAUGAAGACUAAUAAUGCAGGCCUUUGUCAGCAAACUGAAAGCCACCAGCUGGAAGAUAUCCCACACCACAUCUUGAAGCAGCCAUCACAGUGUCUGCAAGCUUGACAUGUCCUUCCCUCCUCUGAGCACCUUGUGACAGCACAGCAAAUAAACCAGCUCCUGUGUGUGUUUA